GCUCAACAGGAUGCUGGAUCCAUGGCUUGUCAUAGGUCACCCCAAAGGACUUCCACAUUGCUCUAUUGGGGCUCCCCAUGUCUGUGGUGAUGUUCAGUACAUGAAGCCCUACAGAUGCCGCUGCUUCAACAAUGUUGAUUAUGAUGGGCCGGUAAACUGCUCCAUUGGUGGAAUUGCCACUAUAGUGGCAGUGUGACAUUGCCAAAUAGCCUCCCCGUUCCCAAAUGGAGCUCCACGCCUGGAGUAAUGGACAUCUCAUCUAAGCGUCCGGAUGUUGGGCAGCGGAAUAUGCAUUCGCUGGAGGGUUUUGUAACCAGUGGUGCCAGCAGUAAAUUUAACCUUUGCCUUAUUAGGUCCUCCACAGUCGCCCCAUCAGUCCCUGGCGGUCUGGUCCCUGGCGGUCUGGUCCCUGGCGGUCUGGUCCCUGGAGCAGCUGGCCCUGGAGCAGAUGGUCCUGGCAAAGUUAUAACUUCACUGUUGACCCCUGACUGACUGGCCCUCGGCACACACAUCCCUGGAUCACCUGCCCCUGGAUCACCUGCCACUGAAUCACCUGCCACUGGCAAUGUGGCCUCUUGAUUUCUCUCUCUGUCUCCUGGCAUGUCCCUUUCGAUGCUCUUAAAAUCCAC
ensembl:lncRNA